UACGUAGGCAGCAAGCGUUGUUCGGAGUUACUGGGCGUAAAGGGUGUGUAGGCGGUUCUUUAAGUUUGGUGUGAAAUCUCCCGGCUCAACUGGGAGGGUGCGCCGAAUACUGAGGGACUAGAGUACGGGAGAGGAAAGUGGAAUUCCUGGUGUAGCGGUGAAAUGCGCAGAUAUCAGGAAGAACACCCGUGGCGAAGGCGGCUCUCUGGGACGGUACUGACGCUGAGACGCGAAGGCGUGGGGAGCGAACAGG
rnacentral:rRNA from 1 species